rnacentral:rRNA from 1 species
UGGGGAAUAUUGGGCAAUGGGCGCAAGCCUGACCCAGCAAUGCCGCGUGAAGGAAGAAGGCUUUCGGGUUGUAAACUUCUUUUAAGAGGGAAGAGCAGAAGACGGUACCUCUUGAAUAAGCCACGGCUAACUACGUGCCAGCAGCCGCGGUAAUACGUAGGUGGCAAGCGUUGUCCGGAUUUACUGGGUGUAAAGGGCGUGCAGCCGGGAGUGCAAGUCAGAUGUGAAAUGCCGAGGCUCAACCUCGGAGCUGCAUUUGAAACUGUACUUCUUGAGUACUGGAGAGGCAGACGGAAUUCCUAGUGUAGCGGUGAAAUGCGUAGAUAUUAGGAGGAACACCAGUGGCGAAGGCGGUCUGCUGGACAGCAACUGACGGUGAGGCGCGAAAGCGUGGGGAGCAAACAGG